rnacentral:tRNA from 4 species
GGCGCCAUAGCCAAGUGGUAAGGCAGAGGUCUGCAAAACCUUCAUCACCGGUUCAAAUCCGGUUGGCGCCUCCA